GUUAGUAAUCAUCAAAACUCAAGACAAGGCCUCUGACUUAGGGCCAUAGCUGAAAGAGCUGCUUUGGGAGAGAAUGAUGACUUUCUCCAGAGAGGAAAUGUGACGCUCCAGUCUCCGAUGAAAAGGAACCUUGUGAUAUGUGUGUCAACACAAGCCUCAGAAAUCACCAGCAUUCAGUUAACACCUUGCUUUUGUUACUCAAUGUUUUUCAUUCUAUUCAAAAUACCACAAAAUUAAGAUAAUAGAUUCACAAAAUGGAUUCAGAGAUAUUAAUGACUUCUUAGCUUGUUUCCAGACUUAUUACAAUUCAUUACUUUCUCCUGAUGUGGUUAAUGUUGUCAUACUUUGGAGCUGUGCCAUUAUCAAUUUUUAUAAAGCUCUACUUACAUGAUUAUAUCACUUUGAUUUUUAAAAUGUCUUCAUUUAGUUCCUGGAAGUUAGUGAGCUGACAUAAAAAAAAAAAAAAAAAAAGCCAUUCUCUAAUGGGAGUGAAUUUUCAUAAGCCAUUUCCAUCAAAGCCCAUCCUCAGAUGCUGCAUUUGGCCCCAUGUCAGGCACUAGAUUUCUUUGUUGGCGUUGUCUUUCUUACUCUGAGUGUUUACAGGUAAUCCCUGUGCCCGUUAACGGUCUAAUAAAUUAUAUUAAGUGUA